rnacentral:lncRNA from 1 species
AUUGGAAUCAUCUGAGGAACUUAAAAAAAUACUGACACUUGGAUCCAGAGAUCCUGAUUUAGUUGGUGUGGGAUGGGGCCAGGGCUUCUAAUUUUAACGUGCAGCUGAGAUUAGAGACAUCGUAAAUGCUUUCAAGUGUUGAGAGUAACUGAUCAGGGAUCUUCUAUUGACAAGCUCUCUUCUCCCCAUCCCCACCCUAUUCACUUUGCUAAUAGAAAAAGGACUUUAAUUCAGAAAUGAAGAGAGACAUCAGCUGGGCUUUCAAAGGCAGGGAGGAAAUCCUCGUGGCUUAUAAAAGCCACUCUAAAGACUCUUGCAGACAUCUUGUGAACAGUUUGUAGGUCUGGGCAGAGGCGUGCCUGUAGCCGAGAGGGGUGGAGCCGGGAUAGUAACGAGUUGUCUGUCGUUGGACAAGUUGUAAGAGUCUCCAGAAGUUAAAGGAGUCUUAGGAAAUAUGGGUCUUGAUAGAUAAGAGGCAUGUAAUAGGAAAUAGGGGAUACUGUGGCAAACUGGAGACUGGGCACCCCCGAAGAAGGGCAGCUCAUGCUGUCAUGCAAAAAUAGGAGCCAGGUGGUGGAAGAUGUCCUAAUUUUUCAAGAUGAGAAAAAAUGAGUCAGAGAGGUGAAGUGACUUUAUCAAGAUUGCACAGCUAGUUCCUGCAGAAGCCAAGUCAACAGAAGCUGGAAAACUGUCUUGCUGUUUUAUCCUGCCCCCUUGAUGAUGAUCUUUAACUCCAACUGGAUUAUGAGUCACGAGGCCGGGGAUCAUACACAUAAUACACAUCUCAUACACAUGAGUAGAGUGCCUUGUCCAUGUUUCAUAGUCAUUCUAUGUCUUUUGGUUGGAGAAUUUAAUCCAUUUGCAAUUAAGGUAAUUACUUAUAGGCACCCUGCAAUAAACCGUCUCAAUGUCCACGUCUGGCCCUGUUGGGGUUUGAUUGCACAGGAAAGCAGAGGAAUGUUAGGAAAAUAAUAAGACUUUAAAUGGAGCCUUCAAAGCUUGCUGAUGACAUCAGAGGAGUCACUGUGUGAUGAGAGAGGUCUCAAAAAUACUAUAAAGCACACCACAGGGAUCUGAAGAGCUCUUCUGAGCCCAGCAUGGAGCCCAGCCUAAAGCAAGAGGAGAAAACCCCAAGGUGCAGACUGAGAAAGAUCCUGGAGCCACACAGCCUGAUCCUGAGAUACUGCUUGGAUUACUCACUGAGCCCAAGGCUGAGGGCAGGAGAUGUUUUACACCACAUAUACUUCUCCCAGGGCUAUGUGCCUAUCUACAUGACCUGGGAAAGGGGGUCAAGGCUGUUCUGUUCAGGACUGAGAUACUGAUUGGCUCUGGAAAAUGUGUUUUAGGGUAGCCAGUAGGUUGAAGAUUAUGUCUUGGCCUUAGAAGUACCAAUCCAAGUCCAGAAUGUUCACACAAACUGGUAAAAAUCUGUUUCCUAGAUGCCAUGAGGAGGCCCCAGUGCUGGUUCCAGAGACCUUAAGGACAGGUGUCCUGGAGGGUUCUUAGCCACUAUGAAGACUGUAGAGAUAUUCCCAGAGUAAGAGAGGUGUUACAUCUAGAAGAGGGCAGUGGACAGCUAUAUGUCCACAUAGGAAAACAUGUCCUGAGAUGGGAUACACAAAGGGUACACAUACAGAGUCAGGAUAACAUUCAAUAUUCACUUGGCAAUGACAAUUGUCCAUGGGAGAAGAUGACUUGUGUGGUUUUAGGGAAUAGUGAUGGGGUGGAUUAGGCCUGGUUGUAGUGAUGGGGUGGAGAAGAGCAUCACCAGGUCCCUUAGGGAUAGUUUCCAAGACUUCUGGGAAGUGAGGUGGCAGAACAAGAGCAUCACUGCACACUUGAGAGUUGAACAUGAUGGGCAUGGAUAAUUGGAAGAGAACUGAAGAGGGCGGAGAAAACAGGGACUCUGGAUUCUGCAAGUCAUAGUGAUUUCCUCAGCAUUCUCUGACAAUAGGAUGCCAGCAAAGUCACCCAAAACUCAAUCAGAUUGUGAGUGACAAAUUCAGCACCAAAAUACGUUUUCACUGUGAACUGCUAUCUGGGACAGUUAAUACAAGACUAUUCAGGGAUCUCUGUUUAUACAGACAAUGAGCCAUUUGACUUUUCCCUAUUGUCUCUGUAUACAGCUUUGACUUUCACGUGGGUCUGCCAGUCUUCUUACAUAUCUUCCAUUAUUAGCUGAUGAGCACCUGUUCAAUUUCUAUUUUUUUUGGUCCCUCUAUCCAUGAUUUCAUAGUCAUAUAUCUUUGUGGAUGGCCCCUAAUACUCCCUGACAUUUACAUCCUUGUAUAGUCCCCUCCUACAUUGAUUCUUUGCUUCUUUAAAAACAAAAUUCAGUGGAAGUGAUAAUAUGUGACUUCAAAGCUAGGUCAUAAAGUCAUUGUGGCUUCCAACUUACUCCUUCUUAGAUUGCUUGUUCUGGGGGAAGCCAGAGCAUUCAAGAAUUCCUGUAAAGAAGCCCACAUAAAGAAGGAUUGAGGCUUCCAACCAUUACCCAAAACCCAACCAUUACACCAACACCACGUAAGGAAGCCACCUGAGAAGUGGAUUCCAAGCCUACAGACGGCUACAUCCCUGGCCAAUAUCUGAUUGCAGCCUUGCAAGAGAUCUUGAACCAGAGCCAUCCAGCUGCUCCUGAAUUUCUGACCCCUAGAAAGAGAGAUAAUGGUGAUCAUUGUUUUAAACCACUAAGUUUUGGAAUUACUUAUUAUGUAGCAAUAGUUAACUAAUAGGAAAGAGGACAAGAGCACAGAGGGGAAGGGCAAAGAGGCAGUGAAUCGCUCCAAGGCAGUGUGACUGAGACUUGAUUGACAAACUGGAAACAUGUGGUUGGCCAUAUUUCAGUAUUGCUAUGGACCAGUGACUCCUGUGCACCUCCCAUUUUCCCAUGUUGGUCGAAAAGUGGUUGUCCUAUGUCUCUCCCACCAACAUAUGUUGGGUGAGUUGGAGCAGAAAACUGGUCUUUUCAGUUCAGAGGUGUUCAACUCAACAGAAGCUGUACAUGAGCAGCUGAACUCAAGGAACCACACCUGCAACACUUCAUCCACAUCUAGAUCUGAGUAAAAUGGAUGGUGAACCUGAGUCUGGUGCCGUAAUAAAUGAAACCUGUGGAGGAGCUUGGGAAGGUCUGAGUGUAUUUUGCAUACAGAAGGAAUGUAGAUAAUUUGUGGCCAGUGGACAGAUGGUAGUAGUUUUAAAACAUAUUCACAAAUUCUUUGAAUCCUCCCACAAAAAGUGGAGUUUAAUUCCCUACCCUUUGAAUAUAAAUCAGUUUUAGAUACCUGCUUCUAAUUAGUAGAAUGCAGUUGAAGUGAUGUUACAUGACUUAGAAAGCUAGGUUAGAAAAGAUGAUAAAGUUCCCAUCCUGGCUCUCAGUCUGUACUUUUGCCCUUGGAGCUUUUGAAACCCAGUCAUCAUGUUGUGAGGCAGCCCAGGCCACAUAGGGAAACCACAUGUAAGUUUUCUGGCUAAUAGCCCCAGCUGAGGUUCGAGCAAUACCUUCCAAACAUGUGAGUGAGAGUGCUUUCAGAUGAUUCCAGCCUUUUGUGCUCACAGCUGAUGCCAGCUGGAGCAGAAACUAAAUUAUCCCCACCAAGCCCUGCUCAAAUUGUAGAUUUAUAAGCAAAGUAAAUGUUGUCAUUGUUUUAAAACACUAAGUUUAGGAGUCAUUUGUUAGGCAGCCACAGUAACUGUGACAAGAUCCUCUGUCUUUUCUUUCUUGGCUCCCCCAAUUUUUUUCAUCUUGGAGAGAAACCUGAGACACAUUCUGGGGUCCCUUUUCAUUAUUUUCUCCUUUGAGGUAGGGUACCAUUAGUCUCACCCAAUGGAAAAAGAAAAUGUAAAGACAUUGUCCAUUUGAGAAGGACAUGCCCAUAUUAAAUCAACUUUCAUUCUCUGUGUCAAGGGUGUAUUGUGAGAAAUUCUCCCUCAGUGUCCCAGCUCUCAUAUAACUAUGGUAACACAGCAACUGUCUCAAAGUGGCAAAUACCUUAGCGAGGUAAUCCAGUUUAUAUUUAUAACCUCAGGGAUAUUUCUCAAUAAGAGUAUGUAUUCCCAAAUGCACCAAGUACUUGAUAAAGAAUUGGACAGCAAUAGCCUUUCCUACCAUUUUUAAUAAACCUACAUAAUUCUCUAGCCAGGGGUCAUAUGCUAAUUCACCCUGUCUCUUAUGAUGCAACUUCACUCAAUAAAACUGUCAUCCCUUCUUCAUGAAAAAGGACAUCCUAAGCUUUUAAAGGCUCCUCUGCAUGUUGAUGAUAGCACUCAUGUAGGGAGCUAGAUCUCAUAUGUAAUCUGGUACCUCUUUCCAGUGAUGGCCUCCUUUAGUCCCCUGUAUAAUGUGCUAUAUGAAAUUAGUUUCAAACUGCCUCCAUAGCUGCAAUACCAGCCAUUCUUCUUUCCUUCUGGAAUAACUUCCCCUGUCUCUGAAGUGGCCAUGUGUCUUGUCCUGUUGGCAACACUGAAGGUAGUGGUAGGGGUCUUUCCCCGUGGCAUCUCCAGGAUAAGUCAUUGGUUCUACCAGCUUCCCUGGAUGCAGUGAGAGAGUCUUUCCUGUUUUCUCCCUUCUCCUAAGGGCUCAAAAAUACUUAGAAAUGCAGAGUAACCAGGGCAUCAAUUCAUGAACCAUGUUAUCUUCCCUCAUAGCCCUCUCAUAGCACUUCCACCUUCUGCCAUGUCCCUCAGGAACCAUCCUGUCACCAACCAUCCAACCUCAGCCAAGUGACCUUGCCACUGCUCCCAUGGGGAUGUCUUAUAGCCCUUUCCAGUUAGCCUCUUUCCAUAAUUUAAAAAAACCAUAAUACCAAAUCAACUGGCACUGGCAGGGACCCCAUAGUAAAUCCCAAACAUCAG